GACGAACGCUGGCGGCGUGCUUAACACAUGCAAGUCGAGCGGUAAGGCCCUUUCGGGGGUACACGAGCGGCGAACGGGUGAGUAACACGUGGGUGACCUGCCCUCAGCUCUGGGAUAAGCCUGGGAAACCGGGUCUAAUACCGGAUAUGACUCCAUGACGCAUGUUGUGGGGUGGAAAGCCUUGUGCGGCUGAGGAUGGGCCCGCGGCCUAUCAGCUUGUUGGUGGGGUGAUGGCCUACCAAGGCGACGACGGGUAGCCGGCCUGAGAGGGCGACCGGCCACACUGGGACUGAGACACGGCCCAGACUCCUACGGGGAGGCAGCAGGU
rnacentral:rRNA from 1 species